rnacentral:lncRNA from 1 species
CGGGAGGGGGGCUCCACGGAGCUCCAGCCAGGGCCGCGGUGCGCCUGCACGUCACGGCUACUCAAACCCAAGCACGUCCCGAAAGCGGUAUUUUCUGCGUCUGGGAGGUUUUUGCAUCCUCAGUUCCCACCGCUGGGGCUGGCGGCGACCAACUGUAAGAGAAACUCACUGGGAGGCGAGGCAGGGGGGUGCGGAGGAUGGGAAGGCGACUCUGAAGGGUGGGAAGUGAAUGCUGGACUUGAUCGUCUUUCUCUUUCUUUCAGCGCAGACCUGUCGCAGCCAGAGAGCUGUCAUUUCAGUACCGGGAUUCAGAAUUGAUCCAGUCCGCAGCGGAGGGGGCACAUCCCAGCUACCGAGCUGCUGAGUGUCUCUGGCUGGAACAAUAGUAUUUUUUUCUCUGCGAGGCUGCAAUUAACAUCUUAUUUUUUCUGGCUCCAUACAGGCUUUGUCAGGAUCGCGGUGCGGCGACCGACGUUGGGCUCUUGCAUUGCUUUCUGCUUGGCAAUGGAAUCAUGGUUUCGGGGUCUAAACUUUUGUUUCGUUUUGUAGUCUUAAUGUAUCUGAUUCUUUUUCAAGUUUCCCUAGUAACAGGUUUGGGGACGGGGUGGGAAGAAGCGAGAAAAGGGGUGAAGAGAAAAAAACAGAUUAUAUAGAAAGGGAAAAGGGAUGUUUCCCCACCUUUUAAUCUAACUAUCUAUCUGUCUGUCUAUCUAUCAUCAUAGAUAGUCAUUUUGCCUCCUGGACAGUUGGCUGACGAAGUGUCUGAUAAACCAGCUUCAGAUACAUGCUACAAAAGGUCAUUCGCCUCCUGAUUAUGUUUCUACUUGUAAACGCAGUUGGUGGUUUGCAAAACAAGUGCUAAAAUAGUGCAGUGAUGUGGUGGGAGGAAACCAUAAUGGGUAAUUCAUAUAAAGUGCUGGAAUCUUCGUAAGGAAGUCCCACUUUAUCAUUAAUGAUGACAAUAACUAAAGCUGCCAGGAACAGCACAUCUGCUGAGCUUUAUCAACACCAGAUUCUCUCAUUUUGCCUUCUGGAUCUCCAUGCUUUUUUAUACCAACAAACAAGAGGAAGAAUAUUCUCUACCCACUUCCUUGACUGAAGCCUGCUCUUUUAUGAAGACAUGGCAUCUCUUCCAACAGUGUCAAACAGAUGCAAUUUAUGUGUCUGCUGCUUCCAUACCCUGAUUAAAUGGGUCAGUGGCAGAAUCAG